UACAGAGGGUGCAAGCGUUGUUCGGAAUUAUUGGGCGUAAAGGGAGUGUAGGCGGUUUGGUAAGUCUUCUGUGAAAUCUGCGGGCUUAGCCUGCAAAGUGCAGAGGAAACUGUCAGACUUGAGUAUUGGAGAGGGCAGGGGAAUACCCAGUGUAGAGGUGAAAUUCGUAGAGAUUGGGUGGAACACCAGUGGCGAAGGCGCCUGCCUGGCUGAUUACUGACGCUGAGACUCGAGAGCAUGGGGAGCAAACAGG
rnacentral:rRNA from 1 species